GACGAACGCUGGCGGCGUGCUUAACACAUGCAAGUCGAACGGAAAGGCCCUGCUUUUGUGGGGUGCUCGAGUGGCGAACGGGUGAGUAACACGUGAGUAUCCUGCCCUUGACUUUGGGAUAACUUCAGGAAACUGGGGCUAAUACCGGAUAUGAGCUCCUGCUGCAUGGUGGGGGUUGGUAAGUUUCGGCGGUUGGGGAUGGACUCGCGGCUUAUCAGCUUGUUGGUGGGGUAGUGGCUUACCAAGGCUUUGACGGGUAGCCGGCCUGAGAGGGUGAACGGGCACAUUGGGACGGAGAUACGGCCGAGACUCCUACGGGAGGCAGCAGUGGGGAAUAUUGCACAAUGGGCGGAAGCCUGAUGCAGCAACGCCGCGUGCGGGAUGACGGCCCUCGGGUUGUAAACCGCUUUCGCCUGUGACGAAGCGUGAGUGACGGUAAUGGGUAAAGAAGCACCGGCUAACUACGUG
rnacentral:rRNA from 1 species